rnacentral:rRNA from 1 species
CUAUCACUUCUGGAUGGACCUGCGGUGCAUUAGCUUGUUGGUGGGGUAACGGCCUACCAAGGCGAUGAUGCAUAGCCGAGUUGAGAGACUGAUCGGCCACAAUGGGACUGAGACACGGCCCAUACUCCUACGGGAGGCAGCAGUAGGGAAUCUUCCACAAUGGGCGCAAGCCUGAUGGAGCAACACCGCGUGAGUGAAGAAGGGUUUCGGCUCGUAAAGCUCUGUUGUUAAAGAAGAACACGUAUGAGAGUAACUGUUCAUACGUUGACGGUAUUUAACCAGAAAGUCACGGCUAACUACGUGCCAGCAGCCGCGGUAAUACGUAGGUGGCAAGCGUUAUCCGGAUUUAUUGGGCGUAAAGAGAGUGCAGGCGGUUUUCUAAGUCUGAUGUGAAAGCCUUCGGCUUAACCGGAGAAGUGCAUCGGAAACUGGAUAACUUGAGUGCAGAAGAGGGUAGUGGAACUCCAUGUGUAGCGGUGGAAUGCGUAGAUAUAUGGAAGAACACCAGUGGCGAAGGCGGCUACCUGGUCUGCAACUGACGCUGAGACUCGAAAGCAUGGGUAGCGAACAGGAUUAGAUACCCUGGUAGUCCAUGCCGUAAACGAUGAGUGCUAGGUGUUGGAGGGUUUCCGCCCUUCAGUGCCGGAGCUAACGCAUUAAGCACUCCGCCUGGGGAGUACGACCGCAAGGUUGAAACUCAAAGGAAUUGACGGGGGCCCGCACAAGCGGUGGAGCAUGUGGUUUAAUUCGAAGCUACGCGAAGAACCUUACCAGGUCUUGACAUCUUGCGCCAACCCUAGAGAUAGGGCGUUUCCUUCGGGAACGCAAUGACAGGUGGUGCAUGGUCGUCGUCAG